ensembl:snRNA U6 U6 spliceosomal RNA
GAGCUUGCUUUGGCAGCGCAUAUACUAAAAUUGGAAUGAUACAGAAAAGAUUAGCGUGGCCCUUGCGUAAGGAUGAUACACAAAUUUGUGAAGUGUUCCAUAUUUUU